UCUCCCCGUAUCCUGCUCCAAAGUGUGAAAGUGAAUUCAGAUAUUUGACCUCAUGAACACGGUCUCACCUGCUUCCACGGUCGUGGUUCUUAGUGGUCUGUUGAACAGGUUUGGAUUUAAAAUGAAACAAAAUCUAUGACUCACACUGCGAUGACUGUUCACUUCUGUUUACGAGCGACACAAUUACUGUUGUUGCCCGUGUUCUACUUUCCGAAUAACAACCGCUGUGUCUGAAUGACUUAUCGCUAUCGGGACCCAUUAGGACGCCCGUCCACUGUUGUUGUGCGUUUAAAUCCCGCUCGCACGAUAAAUCUUUAUGGCGCAUUGUAUAAGUGUGAGUUAGUUCUGGACGUUCGGCCUCCGUCUGCUGCACGGGUGGUGAUAUCUUGCUUCGUAUGACGCACUGCAGCUAAAGUUACUUUCACCAUCUAUGCAAAUACACAUUUAUGUUUUUAGCUGAACUUCUAAUCCGCUCAAACUAGUACACGAUAAUAAAGAAAUCCAUCCACUCAGUACUUCUCUACAUGUGCCGGUACAAAGGGCCACCUGUCUGCCACAAACACAUGGACAGGUACUUGCUGUGACCUACAUGUGGAAAACAGGUACACAGCGGACCUAAAACUAGUGACACAAGGAAGACAAGAGAAGCAGUAUCAAGAAGGGGGAGGAACUUGGCGAGCGUUGGCGGGGAUUCCUCGCCCGUAAAGCUACGUCAGUCAGUGUAUAUAAACCCGUCUGACUAUCAAUAGUUCAAACCUGUUCCUUCUUGUCAAGGCACAACCGCAGCGCUGUGAGAGAACACAGAGAGGCGAAAAAAAACAAGCCGAACCUUCAGCGCUUCACUUCUCUUUUCUGAGCAGACAGAAGCGCGGUGACGAUGGCGGCCCAGGAUCUUGACGCCACAAUUGACGAGUGCGCACACGAGCUCCGUGAGGUCGGCGACGGCCUUUACUGGAGAUUCAGGCUGCUGCAAAUACUCAUCAGGAACUACAAGACCGUAAAUAACAUCAAGUGAGACGGGGCGCCAAGGGCGGACGUGGAAGAGGGAAAUUGGAUUUUUAUUAAACUGGAUGGCAUUCAGAAACGCCGGGGACUCUCGGGGGGGGGGGGCCCUCGACGCCGGAGGCCACAGCGGCGGGGAGGAAGCUGGUGGAAACACCUGGACGGAGACCCCGAGACGCGACCUGUCGGCGGAGCGAGGUCGGCCUGCACCCCGGAGCUUUGCACAGAGAGAGAGUGUGUGUGCGCGCGGCGGGACGCCGGGGAGACCCUCGGGUGAGCGGAUCCGAAGAUGGGACACCGGAUGUCCUCUGCUGAAACACGUGUGCUGUAGACAUGUACGCUGUACAUAUAUGUGAAUGUUUCUGCUCAGAUUGUCGCAUUCAUGUCAGCUGUCGAAUGGAGACUCAGACGCGUGAACUUCCAACUUUGGUGUUGAAUGUUAGCUACGAAUAGUUUGGAUUAUGAGAGGGGGGGGUAAGCCUUUUUCUACAUAACAGACUUCUGCGAUACGUUGUGAUGUAAAGUCAAUACAUGUGGGAACACGGCGUCCGAAACACGGGGAACUAGUCAGUGGAAAGAUGUAAAUCCUGUUUGCUCGUUUAAUAAAAACAAAGUGAGUCGUGCCUCCU